rnacentral:rRNA from 1 species
GACGAACGCUGGCGGCGUGCCUAAUACAUGCAAGUCGAGCGGAUGAUAGAGAAGCUUUGCUUCUCUUGAUUUAGCGGCGGACGGGUGAGUAACACGUGGGUAACCUACCUUAUAGUUUGGGAUAACUCCGGGAAACCGGGCUAAUACCGAAUAACCUAUUUCCUCUCAUGUGGAAAUACUAAAAGACGGUUUCGGCUGUCGCUAUAAGAUGGGCCCGCGGCGCAUUAGCUAGUUGGUGAGGUAAUGGCUCACCAAGGCAACGAUGCGUAGCCGACCUGAGAGGGUGAUCGGCCACACUGGGACUGAGACACGGCCCAGACUCCUACGGGAGGCAG